AACUUUCUUUAUUUUAAAAAUUAAAUUUAAUUUUUUUGUGAGGAAGCAAAAAUAAAAAUUAGGGACAAGAAGACCCUAUGAAUUUUAGAUUAAUAUUUAUAUUAGUAAUUAAUUUUAUAUUAAUUUUGUUGGGGCGACAGAAAAAGAAUAACUAUCUUUUAAUAAUAAGUUAAUUUGGAUCCAUUAUUUAGUGAUUUAAUGAAAAAAAUACUCUAGGGAUAACAGCGUAAUAAUUUUGGAUAGUUCUUAUAGAUAAAAUAGUUUGCGACCUCGAUGUUGGAUUAGGAUUCUUUUUUAAUGAAGAAGUUAAAAAAAGAAGUUUGUUCAACUUUUAAACUCCU
rnacentral:rRNA from 1 species